UAGGGAAUCUUCCACAAUGGACGCAAGUCUGAUGGAGCAACGCCGCGUGAGUGAAGAAGGCUUUCGGGUCGUAAAACUCUGUUAUUGAAGAAGAACGUGUGUGACAGUAACUGGUCAUGCAGUGACGGUAUUCAAUCAGAAAGUCACGGCUAACUACGUGCCAGCAGCCGCGGUAAUACGUAGGUGGCAAGCGUUGUCCGGAUUUAUUGGGCGUAAAGGGUGCGUAGGCGGAUGUUUAA
rnacentral:rRNA from 1 species